rnacentral:rRNA from 1 species
UACGGAGGAUGCGAGCGUUAUCCGGAUUUAUUGGGUUUAAAGGGUGCGUAGGCGGGAUGCCAAGUCAGCGGUAAAAUGUCCGGGCUCAACCCGGGCCGGCCGUUGAAACUGGGGAUCUUGAGUGGGCGAGAAGUAUGCGGAAUGCGUGGUGUAGCGGUGAAAUGCAUAGAUAUCACGCAGAACUCCGAUUGCGAAGGCAGCAUACCGGCGCCCGACUGACGCUGAGGCACGAAAGCGUGGGGAUCGAACAGG